AGUGAACGCUGGCGGCAGGCCUAACACAUGCAAGUCGAACGAUCCUUCGGGAUAGUGGCGGACGGGUGAGUAACACGUGGGAACGUGCCCUUUGGUUCGGAACAACUCAGGGAAACUUGAGCUAAUACCGAAUGUGCCCUUCGGGGGAAAGAUUUAUCGCCAUUGGAGCGGCCCGCGUCUGAUUAGCUAGUUGGUGAGGUAAUGGCUCACCAAGGCGACGAUCAGUAGCUGGUCUGAGAGGAUGAUCAGCCACACUGGGACUGAGACACGGCCCAGACUCCUACGGGAGGCAGCAGUGGGGAAUCUUGCGCAAUGGGCGAAAGCCUGACGCAGCCAUGCCGCGUGAAUGAUGAAGGUCUUAGGAUUGUAAAAUUCUUUCACCGGGGACGAUAAUGACGGUACCCGGAGAAGAAGCCCCGGCUAACUUCGUGCCAGCAGCCGCCGCAGUAA
rnacentral:rRNA from 1 species